rnacentral:lncRNA from 1 species
CAUGGUGUUUUUAGUAGCCUGCUUUAAUGUGUCCAUCAUCUUAUUCUGCUCAUCCUGAGUAAGAGCAGAAGUUACCCAGGGCAACAUUGAUUGAAGUACUUCAGCUCCUGUGCUUCCAAUUAUACGACCGACAAUGAUGUCUUGCUCCUCCACAGAGAAAUGUUUGCCAAACAGUGGCCACAACUCAAGUUCUUCUCUAAAUAACUGCCAAUUAUACGACCAACAAUGAGGUCUUGCUCCUCCACAGAGAAAUGUUUGCCAAACAGUGGCCACAACUCAAGUUCUUCUCUAAAUAUAUGUUGAUCCAGGCUUACUCUUAUUGAUUUACACAUUCCUUGAACCUUUGUGGCAAGCUCAUUGUA